UACGGGGGGGGUAAGCGUUGUUCGGAAUUACUGGGCGUAAAGGGCUCGUAGGCGGCCAACUAAGUCAUACGUGAAAUCCCUCAGCUUAACUGGGGAACUGCGUGUGAUACUGGAUGGCUUGGAUUUGGGAGAGGGAUGCGGAAUUCCAGGUGUAGCGGUGAAAUGCGUAGAUAUCAGGAGGAACACCGGUGGCGAAGGCGGGACUCUGGGCCGAUACUGACGCUGAGGAGCGAAAGCGUGGGGAGCGAACAGG
rnacentral:rRNA from 1 species